rnacentral:rRNA from 1 species
UACGGAGGAUCCAAGCGUUAUCCGGAAUCAUUGGGUUUAAAGGGUCCGUAGGCGGUUUUGUAAGUCAGUGGUGAAAGCCCAUCGCUCAACGGUGGAACGGCCAUUGAUACUGCAAGACUUGAAUUAUUAGGAAGUAACUAGAAUAUGUAGUGUAGCGGUGAAAUGCUUAGCUAUUACAUGGAAUACCAAUUGCGAAGGCAGGUUACUACUAAUAUAUUGACGCUGAUGGACGAAAGCGUGGGGAGCGAACAGG